GCGCCGUUGCAUUACCUACAGUGUAUAAUCAUCGUUUUCUGGGCGGACGAGUCCUGACGGUACCCCAGGAAUCAGCAUCGGCUAACUCCGUGCCAGCAGCCGCGGUAAUACGGAGGAUGCAAGCGUUAUCCGGAAUUAUUGGGCGUAAAGCGUCCGCAGGUGGAGCGUCAAGUCUGCUGUCAAAGACCGGAGCUUAACUCCGGGCAGGCAGUGGAAACUGGCGAACUAGAGUACGGUAGGGGUAGAGGGAAUUCCCAGUGUAGCGGUGAAAUGCGUAGAGAUUGGGAAGAACACCAGUGGCGAAGGCGCUCUACUGGGCCGUAACUGACACUCAGGGACGAAAGCUAGGGGAGCGAAUGGGAUUAGAUACCCCAGUAGUCCAGCUAGCGUUGUUCGGAAUUACUGGGCGUAAAGGGCGCGUAGGCGGACUGUUCAAGUCAGAGGUGAAAUGCCCGGGCUCAACCUCGGAACUGCCUUUGGAACUGGGUGUCUAGAGUUCGGGAGAGGUUCGUGGAAUUCCCAGUGUAGAGGUGAAAUUCGUAGAUAUUGGGAAGAACACCAGUGGCGAAAGGCGGCUACCUGGGCCCGUACUGACGCUGAGGCGCGAAAGCGUGGGGGGAGCAAUGGGAUUUAAUACCCCGGUAGUUCAAGCA
rnacentral:rRNA from 1 species